rnacentral:rRNA from 1 species
GACGAACCGUGCGAACGUUAUUCGGAAUCAUUGGGCUUAAAGGGCGCGUAGGCGGCGGCGUAAGUUGGAAGUGAAAUCCCAUCGGCUCAACCGUGGAAUUGCUCCCAGUACUGCGUCGCUCGAGGGGGAUAGGGGUCUGCGGAACUACCGGUGGAGCGGUGAAAAUGUGUUGAUAUCUGGAGGAACACCGGUGGCGAAGGCGGCAUCCUGGACCGGCAUGACGCUGAGGCGCGAAAGCCAGGG